UACGUAGGGUGCGAGCGUUAAUCGGAAUUACUGGGCGUAAAGCGUGCGCAGGCGGUUUUGUAAGCCAGGUGUGAAAUCCCCGGGCUCAACCUGGGAAUGGCAUUUGGGACUGCAAGGCUGGAGUGCGGCAGAGGAGACUGGAAUUCCUGGUGUAGCAGUGAAAUGCGUAGAUAUCAGGAGGAAUACCGAUGGCGAAGGCAGGUCUCUGGGCUGACACUGACGCUCACGCACGAAAGGCGUGGGGAGCAAACAGGAUUAGAGUACCCGUG
rnacentral:rRNA from 1 species